rnacentral:rRNA from 1 species
GACGAACGCUGGCGGCGUGCUUAACACAUGCAAGUCGAACGGUAAGGCCCUUCGGGGUACACGAGUGGCGAACGGGUGAGUAACACGUGGGUGAUCUGCCCUGCACUUCGGGAUAAGCCUGGGAAACUGGGUCUAAUACCGGAUAGGGUCACUGCCUGCAUGGGGGGUGGUGGAAAGCUUUUGCGGUGUGGGGUGGGCCCGCGGCCUAUCAGCUUGUUGGUGGGGUGAUGGCCUACCAAGGCGACGACGGGUAGCCGGCCUGAGAGGGUGACCGGCCACACUGGGACUGAGAUACGGCCCAGACUCCUACGGGAGGCAGCAGUGGGGAAUAUUGCACAAUGGGCGCAAGCCUGAUGCAGCGACGCCGCGUGAGGGAUGACGGCCUUCGGGUUGUAAACCUCUUUCAGCACCGACGAAGCGCAAGUGACGAUAGGUGCAGAAGAAGGACCGGCCAACUACGUGCCAGCCGCCGCAGUAA